UGUAAAAUGGUGUAUGAAGCACGUAAAUUUUUGAAUUUUAAAGUUAAGUUUAAUUCUUUAUUUUACAA
rnacentral:tRNA from 1 species